rnacentral:rRNA from 1 species
GACGAACGCUGGCGGCGUGCCUAAUACAUGCAAGUCGAGCGAAUCGAUGGGAGCUUGCUCCCUGAGAUUAGCGGCGGACGGGUGAGUAACACGUGGGUAACCUGCCUGUAAGACUGGGAUAACUUCGGGAAACCGGAGCUAAUACCGGAUACUUUCUUUUCUCGCAUGAGGGAAGAUGGAAAGAUGGUUCUGCUAUCACUUACAGAUGGACCCGCGGCGCAUUAGCUAGUUGGUGAGGUAACGGCUCACCAAGGCAACGAUGCGUAGCCGACCUGAGGGGGGGAUCGGCCCAACUGGGACUGAGACACGGCCCAGACUCCUACGGGAGGCAGCAGUAGGGAAUCUUCCGCAAUGGACGAAAGUCUGACGGAGCAACGCCGCGUGAGCGAAGAAGGCCUUCGGGUCGUAAAACUCUGUCGUUAGGGAAGAACAAGUACGAGAGUAGCUGCUCGUACCUUGACGGUACCUAACCAGAAAGCCACGGCUAACUACGUGCCAGCCGCCGCCGUAACAC